rnacentral:rRNA from 1 species
UGAGGGAAUAUUGGGUCAAUGGGCGGAAGCCUGAACCAGCCAAGUAGCGUGAGGGAUGACUGCCCUAUGGGUUGUAAACCUCUUUUAUAAGGGAAUAAAAUACGGGACGUGUCCUGUUUUGCAUGUACCUUAUGAAUAAGGACCGGCUAACUACGUGCCAGCAGCCGCGGUAAUACGUAGGGGGCAAGCGUUAUCCGGAUUUACUGGGUGUAAAGGGAGCGCAGGCGGUCCUGCAAGUCUGAUGUGAAAGCCCGGGGCUCAACCCCGGGACUGCAUUGGAAACUGUGGGACUUGAGUGUCGGAGGGGCAAGUGGAAUUCCUAGUGUAGCGGUGAAAUGCGUAGAUAUUAGGAGGAACACCAGUGGCGAAGGCGGCUUGCUGGACGACAACUGACGCUGAGGCUCGAAAGCGUGGGGAGCAAACAGGAUUAGAUACCCUGGUAGU